rnacentral:rRNA from 1 species
UACGUAGGGCGCAAGCGUUGUCCGGAUUUACUGGGCGUAAAGGGCGCGUAGGCGGCCACGACAAGUCACUUGUGAAAUCUCCGGGCUUAACCCGGAACGGUCAAGUGAUACUGUCGGGCUAGAGUGCAGAAGGGGCAACUGGAAUUCUCGGUGUAGCGGUGAAAUGCGUAGAUAUCGAGAGGAACACCUGCGGCGAAGGCAGGUCUCUGGGCCAUUACUGACACUGAGAAGCGAAAGCAUGGGGAGCGAACAGG